GAUGAACGCUAGCUACAGGCUUAACACAUGCAAGUCGCAGGGUAACAUGAGGAAAGCUUGCUUUCCUUGAUGACGACUGGCGCACGGGUGAGUAACGCGUAUCCAACCUUCCCAUAACUACGGGAUAACCCGUUGAAAGACGGCCUAAUACCGUAUGACAUCGUUUGCUGACAUCAAAUAACGAUUAAAGGUUUAGCGGUUAUGGAUGGGGAUGCGUCUGAUUAGCUUGUUGGCGGGGUAACGGCCCACCAAGGCGACGAUCAGUAGGGGUUCUGAGAGGAAGGUCCCCCACAUUGGAACUGCGACACGGUCCAAACUCCUACGGGAGGCAGCAGUGAGGAAUAUUGGUCAAUGGGCGAGAGCCUGAACCAGCCAAGUAGCGUGCAGGAUGACGGCCCUAUGGGUUGUAAACUGCUUUUAUGUGGGGAUAAAGUGCGUGACGUGUCAUGCAUUGCAGGUACCACAUGAAUAAGGACCGGCCAAUUCCGUG
rnacentral:rRNA from 1 species